CCUACGGGAGGCAGCAGUGGGGAAUAUUGGACAAUGGGGGCAACCCUGAUCCAGCCAUGCCGCGUGUGUGAAGAAGGCCCUCGGGGUGUAAAGCACUUUCAGUGAGGAAGAACGCCUGGUGGUUAAUACCCAUCAGGAAAGACAUCACUCACAGAAGAAGCACCGGCUAACUCCGUGCCAGCAGCCGCGGUAAUACGGAGGGUGCGAGCGUUAAUCGGAAUUACUGGGCGUAAAGCGCGCGUAGGUGGCUUGAUAAGCCGGUUGUGAAAGCCCCGGGCUCAACCUGGGAACGGCAUCCGGAACUGUCAAGCUAGAGUGCAGGAGAGGAAGGUAGAAUUCCCGGUGUAGCGGUGAAAUGCGUAGAGAUCGGGAGGAAUACCAGUGGCGAAGGCGGCCUUCUGGACUGACACUGACACUGAGGUGCGAAAGCGUGGGUAGCAAACAGGAUUAGAUACCCUAGUAGUC
rnacentral:rRNA from 1 species